rnacentral:rRNA from 1 species
UACGAAGGGGGCUAGCGUUGCUCGGAAUCACUGGGCGUAAAGGGCGCGUAGGCGGCGUUUUUAAGUCGGGGGUGAAAGCCUGUGGCUCAACCACAGAAUGGCCUCGAUACUGGGACGCUUGAGUAUGGUAGAGGUUGGUGGAACUGCGAGUGUAGAGGUGAAAUUCGUAGAUAUUCGCAAGAACACCGGUGGCGAAGGCGGCCAAACUGGACCAUUACUGACGCUGAGGCGCGAAAAGCGUGGGGAGCAAACAGG